rnacentral:rRNA from 1 species
CCUACGGGUGGCUGCAGUGAGGAAUAUUGGUCAAUGGCCGGAAGGCUGAACCAGCCAAGCCGCGUGAGGGAGGAAGGCGCAGAGCGUCGUAGACCUCUUUUGUCGGGGGACAAAAGGCGGGACUUGUCCGGUCCUGAGUGUACCCGGAGAAAAAGCAUCGGCUAACUCCGUGCCAGCAGCCGCGGUAAUACGGAGGAUGCGAGCGUUAUCCGGAUUAAUUGGGUUUAAAGGGUGCGCAGGCGGUGCUUUAAGUCAGCGGUAAAAUCGCGGGGCUCAACCCCGGCGCGCCGUCGGAACUGGGAGCCUCGAGUGCGGCGGAGGCAUGCGGAAUGCGCGGUGUAGCGGUGAA